ensembl:lncRNA
GCAGAUGUAAUAUUUAGACGCUGACUACUCCAGAGUCUUGGACCUGCCACAGACAAGGCUCUGUCGCCACAAGAUUAGUUUUGGACUGCACCUCGUGGUUCUUUCUGGAGCAUAAAUAAAUAGGAACUCAGAUAGGUAAGUGGGGCUCAGCCAUUUAGUUAUUUAAAAACAAAAGUAACAUUUUAAAUUUGAUCCUGUAAGUAACAGGAAGCUAGUGUAAGGAGGCCAAUACUGGGGUUAUAUGCUCCUUCAGUUUCCGUAAGCUUAUUUUAUGGGAGACAUACAUUUAUUUAAACCAGGGGUCUCCAACUCCAGGCCUCGAGGGCCGGUGUCCUGCAGGUUUUAGAUAUCACCCUGGGUCAACACAUCAUCACAUCUUGUUGGGGGUGGGCACAUGGCCAUCUGACCUGGACCACAGAGCAAUGGAAGAAGGUGGUCUGAUGAAUCUCUUUUUUCUUCUUCUUUUUUUUUUUUUUUACAUCAUGUUAAUGGCCCUGGUGUGCGUGCAUCACUUCCCUGGCAUUCCAGGUGGGGAACUCCAAGUCUCAAGGCCUGGUGAUCUGCAUGUUUUAGAUAUCACUCUGGGUCAGCACCUGAAUCAAGUGAUUAGUUUAUUAGCAGGCCCGUGGAGAAUUUCAAGACAUGCUGAGGAGGUAAUUUAGGCAUUAGAAUCAGCUGUGUUGGAUCAAGGACACAUCUAUAACCUGCAGGACACUGGCCUUCCCCCACUCCUGAUAUACACUCUUUCAUGGAAACUUCAUGCCACAAAGCAAAAAAUGGUUCAGGAAUGGAUUGAGGAGCAUCCAUGGGGUCCUACAUGACUUAAAGAAUCUGUUGCUAACAUCCUGGUGUCAGAUACCACAGCACACCUUCAGGGGUCUAGUGAGGCCUCAAUGGGUUAGGGCUGUUUUGACAACACAAGGCAGACAGUAUUAGUGCUCAUAACGUUUUGACUGAUUGGUGUGUAACCAAAUGCUGUGGUUACUUUCCCCUUUCCUUUUACUUGUGUUUGAACUCCCUCUUUGGUUUAGCUACCAAAACAUAAACAGUUUGGGUAUCAAACCAACUUGGUUAGGUAUAGAAAAAGUUUAUGGUUUGAG